rnacentral:rRNA from 1 species
CCUACGGGAGGCAGCAGUGGGGAAUUUUCCGCAAUGGGCGAAAGCCUGACGGAGCAAUACCGCGUGAGGGAUGAAAGCCUGUGGGUUGUAAACCUCUUUUCUCAAGGAAGAAGUUCUGACGGUACUUGAGGAAUAAGCAUCGGCUAACUCUGUGCCAGCAGCCGCGGUAAUACAGAGGAUGCAAGCGUUAUCCGGAAUCACUGGGCAUAAAGCGUCUGUAGGUUGCCUACCAAGUCUGCUGUUAAAGAUCGGGGCCUAACCCUGAGAAAGCGGUGGAAACUAGUAGGCUUGAGUGUGGUAGAGGUAGAGGGAAUUCCUGGUGUAGCGGUGAAAUGCGUAGAUAUUAGGAAGAACACCAACGGCGAAAGCACUCUACUGGGCCAUAACUGACACUGAGAGACGACAGCUAGGGGAGCAAAUGGGAUUAGAUACCCCAGUAGUCCUAGCCGUAAACGAUGGAUACUAGGUGUUGCACGUAUUAACCCGUGCAGUAUCGUAGCUAAGGCGUUAAGUAUCCCGCCUGGGAAGUACGCUCGCAAGAGUGAAACUCAAAUGAAUUGACGG